rnacentral:tRNA from 1 species
GGCCUUAGGGUGUAGUUAUGCAUGCUUGCCUUCCAAGCAAGAGGUCUUUUAUUUAAAGUAAGGCUACCA